UAACCUGCCCAAGAGAUCGGGAUAACACCUGGAAACAGAUGCUAAUACCGGAUAACAACAGAUGAUGCCUAUCAACUGUUUAAAAGAUGGUUCUGCUAUCACUCUUGGAUGGGCCUGCGGUGCAUUAGCUAGUUGGUAGGGUAACGGCCUACCAAGGCGAUGAUGCAUAGCCGAGUUGAGAGACUGAUCGGCCACAUUGGGACUGAGACACGGCCCAAACUCCUACGGGAGGCAGCAGGA
rnacentral:rRNA from 1 species